rnacentral:tRNA from 1 species
AGGGGAUUAGUGUAGUGGUAACACGGCGAACCUCAUCGGUCGCAGGCAGCAGUUCGAAUCUGCUAUCCCCAA